rnacentral:lncRNA from 1 species
AUGAUCCUGAUCAGUCCCUUCCAACUCAGGAUAUCCUGUGAUUCCAAGACUCCAAUUUCCCAAGGCCACAGCACACCUACCAGCCCUCCUCACCCCGGUGAGGCUUCACUGAAGGUCCCCAACAGCCACCAUUGCUGCCACCACAAUGUGGCAGACCCUCGGUGCCACCACACAACCAACAGUGCCAUCACAGCCCUAAUCCCACCACCACCCUUGGGAAUGAGCACCCCUGCAGGAACAGCUGGAUCCAAAGCCUGCAGCCAGGCUUGGGAUGGUUCCCAACACUCCCUGCAGACAAGGAAGCACAAACCUCACUGCCACCUUUGUCCCCGUGUCCUGCUGCUUCUAACAGCAUCUGCCCUGAGGACAGUGCUGGCCCUACCCUGCAGGCAGGGAGAGCACAGCCCUGCCAGGAUGUGGGCAGGGGCAGGAGGGUGUGGAGUGAUGGCAUCACGCAGGGAUGGAGCCCUCGGAAUGCUGCUGAGGGGACAAAGUUCAGCAGAGGCUGAGUGCUGGGAUCUGAGACCAGGAGGAGAGAGUUUGAGCAGCAGCAAUGGGACAUCACUGAGGGUCAGCUGGAGUGGGGGGACACUUCUUCAGGGCAGCUUGGUACGUCUUGGUGGGAGAAGAAGGGGAACCUCUGCUGGGGGAACUUCUGCUCGGGGAGCCUUUGCCCACCCCCUUGAACAUGUUGGCCAGGUCCCAGCUGGUGUCCCGGGCUCUGCAGGCUCGUGGUGGGCUCUGGCUCCUGCUCCCUGCUGCAGUCUGUCGGGAUGGAAGGCCAGGACUCAGCGAGGGACGCUCUGCAGAGCAGUAAAGAGCAGCUCCUGGGAGGCUCCUCCCCGAACGCAGGUGAGCAGCAGAGAUGGAGGCACAUCUGAAAAAAUGACUCGAAAAACCAGUUUAGGGUGGAAAGAACAGAGCCCCAGAGGGAGAGCGGGAGACCUCGCCCUGGCUCAGAGAAUGUUUGGGCUCACACAGCCACAGCAGCAGCUUUCCAGCAGAGGGACAGAGAGCACUUUGCAGGGCUGGGAACACAACUUGGAGAGAGUGCACUGCAGCCACUGA